GGGAAGAGGGGGUUAUGGAAGUCUUCUCUGUGCCAGGUUGUCCUUCUCUCUCCGCGGCAACCCGCAGAAGGGCCGCAUUACGGUUUUCACAACGAGGAAAGUGAGGCCAGAGGGGCUCGGCAGCCCUCCCGGGGUCGGCCUGGCUGCCCAGUGAGUGUUCCUCAUCAGACCCCGUGAGAGCUACACUGCCUGUGGGUGAAAUGUACCAGACACACCGCGCAGGCUCAGUGUGAUUCACGUCGUUGGUUCCUUGCCUCCAAGGGCACGUCACAGAUGGAAGGCCUGGCUGGUAGGCUUCACGGUAGCUCGAUGAAUCCUGGUAGCCACAUUUGUGGAUGUGGAAAGACACCCACAGUCUGUUGUGCUAUGAGAAAAGCAGGCUGGAGGACUGCACGUUGACGACGAGCCUAUCUGUGCAGAGCUGGGCACGUGUGCAUGUCUCUUUGCCUUUGGUCAUUGGUUUUCCCACUUUUGUCCAUUCUUUGGCCUAUAACUUAAACAACAAUGACAGCAAAACCCAGAUGUCAACUGGAAUGAAAUACAAAGCUGUUUCACGGGUGGAGAAAAAGAAGAAUCCACUGGAUUCUUUCCCCUGCUGUAGAUCAUGCAUGGAUGAGGACCUGAGUGCAGGCCAGCACUGACUUCCUUGUUCUUACUGGAUACACUCACUGAGCAGCCUGCAGAUGUGCGGUUGGCUCCUGAGCUCAACCCUGACCAUAGAGAAAUAGCACCAGCCACCCCUGCCUCCGCCAUCUGGAAUGAGCUCCAUUCCUCCCUCUUCUGGAUGAGCCUGGAACCUCUCUGUACCUGUCUGAGGGUGGCGGCAAAGGAAGAAGCUCUUUCAUCUGAGCAUCCACAGGCCUGAAACAUAAGGGGGCCUUCGAGCCGUCUGCCAGCCCCCACAUCCAAUCAGUCACCAAGUCCUCUCCGGUCUUUCGGCAAAUGCUUUUUGUGUUCAUUGGCACUGACACUCCUCAGGUAUCCACACUUAACGAUUGUCUCUGGUUCACAGCAAGGUCCUCCUUAACCAGCCUUCCAGCAGCCACUAUCCCAUUUCUAACCCGUCCUAAACACCGGCACCAGACUUGAAUGGGAGAUGACUCUCCCUCCCCACUUUUGUGUCCUGAGCAGACAGUACAGAAUGUAGUUUGUGGGAGAUUAAAGAUGGCCCCUGAUUCCUUGCUGCUUGCUCCCAUUGAGAGGUCUACUUCCCUUUCUCUUCAAUCUGGGCUCCUGGCAGAGACUUGGUAACCAAUAGACUGUGGUGGAAACAAUGUUGCAUGAUUUUGAGACAAUGUCUUGAGAAGCCUGGCAGCUUCCAUCCAGUUCUCUUGGAGAACUUUUUCUCUCAGAGCUACCAUGAGCUACCCUGUAGGGAGCCCCACUAUUCUGAAGCCGUGGGGCUGUGAGAAAACCCAAGCCACAUGGAGUAGCCACUUGAGGGGGCUCUAGUCAACAGGUCAGCUGAACUCCCGUAAUGGCUAGGAGGCAUUUGAGAAGUGGAUUUCUAGCGCUCGGCUGACACCGUAAGUAUCAGAGAUGAUGAACUGCCCAGCUGAGCCCUCUCCAAAUUCCUGACACACAGAAUCAUGAGCCAAAUAAAAUUGUUGUUCUAAGAUUCUUAGUUUUGGUGUAGCUUGUCAUGAACCAAGAGAUAAGCAGACCAGUGAUCAAAAACGGUUGAAUGAAUGAAGAAUUCAUCGGCAGUAGUGCUCUAAUGGUGUCGCUGCCCUAGUCAAGAGCUCUCAGUGGCUCCCUAUAGCCCGAAAAAGAAUGUUUAGUGCCCUCAGUUGGCAUUUACGCUCCUUCAUAAUUUGGCGUCAGCCUGCUUUUCAGAUCUUCCCAAACAGAUACUUUUCCAACAUCAUGUCUUUACUUAUCUCUACUGCUUUCUCCAUCCGGAUGUCCUUUCUGCCCACAUUCCCACCUCAGGAUGUUGACAUUUAACUUGUCCUCUGAGACUUUAGUCAGGUGCCUUCUCUGGCUGCCCAGUCCAGCAGUGAGCCCUCCUCUUUCCAUCUCUACUUUGUUUGAUGUUUUCCUAAUUCUUUUCCUUCAUUGACCCUGUUCUUUAUUUCUCACCUCCUCCUCCUCGUGUGUGUGUGCGCACGCGUGUGGAGGGUGAGCACAUAAGGAGGCAUACAAACGUGUUGUGCGGGCUACCAGGCAUGAAUCCCUACAGAGCCUGAGAUGGGACUUGCCAGCACAUAAUCUGGCACCUUGUGUCUCCCAAGCGCUUGAAGGGAGGAAGGGUGUUUAGAAGCAGAGGCUUUGGGGUCAGCUCAGAUUUUGGAUCAUAAUUGUGCCACUUACUGUGUGGCUUUGGGCGAGAUGCAUGAACUCUCUGAGCUCAGUCUCCUUAUUUAGAAACUAGAGACCUCAUGAGAAUGUGUGUAUAGGCCCAGCUCUCGCGCUUGGCUCAUCACAGACCGUUAAUAACUGUUCGCUGAGUAGACACAGCAGAACAGUCGAUCAUCUUCUGGAAGCUCAAGUGUUAUCGUGUCAAUGUUGGAAAGAACUCUCCCGCAUCACAAAUAUAUACAUUUUAAAACAAUUAAAAGAAUUUUGAAAGGAACACAGAACAAGAGCAGAGUGAAAAGGCACAAUGGAGACCGCGUGGCCAGCCCCAACUAUAUUAAUCUGUGUGAUCGGCCUGGCUCUGCUGGGGCCUCAGUCUUCUCAUCUGUGAACUGAGCGGUGGGUACUGGAAUCUAAGCUCCCCUCCAGUGCUGACAUUCCAAGAGCAUUAAAGGAAAAGGAUGAAUCACCCCUUCAAAAUACCAAUACGGGCUGGGCCCUCCCCCUGCUGUCCCCAUCCAGCACAGCUAAGAGCUCGUAAUACACAGCCGGCUUCCUGCUGCAGCUGCCACGAAACUUCAACCCCCUUUCCCAGGGGUCUCAGAAGCAAGACUGAUAAUGGACCCCUGGCCUUCUCCAUCUCAACAGGGAACCAGAUCCAGUUCCCAGACUCUGGGGGCCAGAGGGCCCUCCCCUGAGGGUGCUGGCUUUCUGUGGACAUUUGGCUUUCAGUAUACAUGUGCAUGAAGUGUGGGGAGUGUUGGGAGGGCGGAAGGAAGGAAUAAAGGAAAGAGUUGAAAAUA